rnacentral:rRNA from 1 species
GAUGAACGCUGGCGGCGUGCCUAAUACAUGCAAGUCGAGCGAACAGAUGAGGAGCUUGCUCCUCUGACGUUAGCGGCGGACGGGUGAGUAACACGUGGAUAACCUACCUAUAAGACUGGGAUAACUUCGGGAAACCGGAGCUAAUACCGGAUAAUAUAUUGAACCGCAUGGUUCAAUAGUGAAAGACGGUUUUGCUGUCACUUAUAGAUGGAUCCGCGCCGCAUUAGCUAGUUGGUAAGGUAACGGCUUACCAAGGCAACGAUGCGUAGCCGACCUGAGAGGGGGAUCGGCCACACUGGAACUGAGACACUGUCCAGAACCCGAGGGGAGGCAGAAGUAGGGAAUCUGCCGCAAGGGGCGAAAGCUUAGCGGGGCAACGCCGGGGGGGUGAUGAAGGGCUUCGGAUCGUAAAACUUUGUUAUUGGGGAAGAACAAAUGUGUAAGUAACUAUGCCCGUCUUGACGGUACCUAAGAAGAAAGCCACGGCUAAAUACGG